UACAGAGGGUGCGAGCGUUAAUCGGAAUUACUGGGCGUAAAGCGCGCGUAGGCGGCUUUUCAAGCCGAUUGUGAAAUCCCCGGGCUUAACCUGGGAACUGCAGUCGGGACUGUCUAGCUAGAGUAUGGGAGAGGGAAGUGGAGUUUCAGGUGUAGCGGUGAAAUGCGUAGAUAUCUGAAGGAACAUCAGUGGCGAAAGCGACUUCCUGGACCAAUACUGACGCUCAUGUGCGAAAGCGUGGGGAGCAAACAGG
rnacentral:rRNA from 1 species